UCACAGCGCCAUUUUCUAAGUUAUAGAGUUGCAUAGCAACGCCUUAUUAGAUUCGUUUGAAACGAUCUAAUUAUAUACGGCGUAUAAAGCUUCAAAAUUGUAGAAAAAGUUUCACUGUAUAUUUAUUUUUCUGCUUAAACUGAGAAUCGAUUGAUUUUUAACAUCAGGGAAUACCAAAUUUGUGUGUUGUCUGCUAGAAUCAUCAAAGUGAGAAACACACGUCCAGAAUUACCUCCCUUGCCUCUCUGUUACCGCCAUUUUCUAAUUGUAGAAAAAUAUUUCUUUGAGUCAAAUCACAAAUAAUUUCGUAAAUAACUUCAUCACUUCAUAUUUAUAAUUAUAAACAAGAGCUUUCUCUUCAGUUGCUUCUCGAAUCACUUCUCUGGUGUAACACUGACUGACGCUAAAGCUAGAAUAACCUCCCUUCUUCUAACGCCAUCGCCAUAUUUCUUUACAGAUCUGCUGCUUUCCUGCGAUGCCGCAGAAUUUUACAUGUUGCACCCUUUAUAAGCAUCAUGUUGACACAUAUCAGAAUAUCCUGAUAGAACUGCUCAUGGCCACUUGAACUAUGCAAUGGAACUGGUGUUAUUCUUCAAUGUUACAUCAAUCCUGACUGUUGAAUCUGUUUCACAAGAAUUGUAACGUUCAUGGUUGGACAACUGAAGCACUGCCACCCGUAAUGGUAAAGCUUCAUUCCUGCCAUGUCUUCAGAUUCUAAUAGAAAUAUCUACUGACAGUUUGACGAUGAUGAUGAUGAUAUGUGGAUAUUUAUACAUGGAUUAAAACAUAGCCAAAUCUCUCCAUAGAGGCCUGCUAUGAAAUAGUUUAAUAAUUACUUUGCACUCACACGUUCAUAUCUCUUUGUCUGUGUGUCUAUCUUCCAUCAUCAUCAUCAUCAUCAACAACAGCAACAACAACAUCAGCAGCACAUUUUUCUAAGGUAUUUCCCAAAAUGGCUGAAAACUUCCAGUGUAAAUAUUGUAAUGAAAUAUUUACGUCUUUGGCCGAUCUUUCACAGCAUAAAAAAAUUCAUACUUUUUCGUGUGACAUUUGUUCCACUGAAUUUUUGUACAAAUCUUUAUUGUCAACACACCUGAGGACACACCUGAAGAAGCCUUUCAAAUGUGCGAUAUGUUGUCGCAACUUUGCUAAAUCAGUGCAGUUCAAUGCACACAUGAAAACACACGAGACAGUCCCUUGUUACAAAUGUGGUUUCUGUAGCCUGACUUUCACCACAGCUAGCAAUAUGCUUUCCCAUAUUGAAGAACAUCUGCGUACCCAGUAUCAAUGUGGACUUUGCUCCAAGGGGUUCGAGUUACUCGAUGACCUUUCUGAACACCUCCGACUGCAUUUCAAAAUAAAAUCUCUUGGACAACGCAGUAAAAGACCAACUGUUGUUAACAACAGUAAAGAAACUGUAUUGGACCCAACCUCUACGUCAACUGUUGCUGAGGUCUCUAAGACAUGUGAUUCGAAUCAAGAAAAAAACGGUGAUGUCGCAACUCUGCCUAGGGACUGCAACGAAGCAGCUAAGCGCAGCGCUAAAGUGCACCAGUGUGAGUACUGCAAUGCCACAUUUAAACGUAAGCAUCUGUUGACCACUCAUCGGAGAAUCCAUACUGGUGAUCGGCCGUAUAAGUGUAGCUAUUGUGAUAAGAACUUCAGUCGUUAUUAUGCAAUGGUGGCCCAUGAGAGACUCCAUACUGGGGAACGUCCGUAUAAAUGUAACCAGUGUGAUAAAUCAUUUACUGUCUCUAGUCACUUAAAUGUUCAUUUUAAACUAAAACAUAUCGGUUUAAGGCCUCAUAAAUGUGACCGAUGUGACAAAGCUUACCGUAGUCCGGGAGAGCUUCGCAUUCACAUCCGUUCCCACACUGGGGACCGGCCUUUUUCAUGUGAGGUCUGUGGGAAGAACUAUGCUACCCAAUGUUCACUGACCAUUCAUAAAAAGACGCACUCCCCAGACAAAAAACCUUACAUUUGUGAGUUGUGUGGUCUCUCUUAUAAGCAGCCGAGCAGUUUAAGUGUCCAUAUGCGUACUUCACAUGGAAGCGACAAAGAGAAAAAACAUCACUGUGAAUUCUGUCAAAAGAGUUUUCAUAUUGCCGGGAGCCUUCUGCGGCACCGGCGCAUCCACACAAACGAAAGGCCUUAUUUGUGUGACCUUUGUGAUAAGUCAUUUCGUGAAUCUUCAGCUCUCAAAACCCACAAGAGGCGACAACAUCUUGGUGAACGUCCGUAUCAUUGUGAUUGUUGCGACAAGUGUUUCUGUACCCAAACGGAUCUUACCAGACACAAAAAAACCCACAAAGGCCUUGCUGUCCUUUCAUCUCUGGCGGUUAGUAUUGCUGAAAAUAAGCUGAAAGAUGUACCUGCUUCUCAGUCUCUCUAUUCAAAACCUACCGAGGAAAUACAAUUAACUGCUUCACAGCUACCAGUAACCAUAGCUCAGCCCGUUGUGUCUCCCCUAACUGUGCCUAUCCCACAACAAACUGUGUCUCCUUUGACUGUUUCUGUUACACAAGAAGACCCAUCUUCCCUAGCAGUGCCCAUCACUUCUGUAUCAAGCUCUCUAGAAGAAAUGUACGUGGUACCUCAAACCCCAAAUGAAAUAACUCUAUCUCAUGAUAUUUCAUUACACCCUGAAGAGACUUGUGAAAUAACCGCUUCUCACGCAGUGCAAAUAUCUGAACAGUUACAAGAUGUGUCGGCUGAUGUGUCGAUGUCCACUGUCCAGGAUGUGACCUUAUCACACGACUCUAUGGUGGUUGUCACUGACCAGCAGUCACCUGCUAUUGGUUCAAUGACAUUAACGUUACCUGUCUCCUCUAUCCAUCAAACCUUCCCUUACAAAGUGACGUGGCCCUACAUUUUUCACCUCAAAUGUCCCUGACAAUCCCCAACAGCGUUACUUCGUCACAUUCUGUCGUACCUACCACUUCUCAGACAGUAGCUCUCUCACAAGUGGUCCACUCCCUUACGUAAUGUGGAAACGAGUUGUGAAUCUUGUAAUUAAUUACCCAUACUUGGCUACUGGAUGUUUAGCAGGUACUCCGCAUCCCCCGUCAGCGUUUUAGAGAUGAGGAUUUGUUCAACAGUUAUUUUACUCCAAAUGUCAUUGGCGGAUAAGUAAGUUGCUGGGUGUGUGCCUCCUGCAUCCCAGCUGAGUGAUGACAAACCUGACAAAUAUGUCAUAGACAUCACAUUGUGAUGACAAAACUGACAUAGACAUUGUAUUGUGAUGACAAACAUGACAUAGACAUCACGUUGUGAUGACAAACCUGACAUAGAUGUCACAUUGUGAUGACAAACAUGGCAAAGAUAUCCCAUCAUGAUGACAAGCAUGUCAUAGUCAUCACAUUGUGAUGACAAAUCUGACAGAAACAUCACAUCGUGAUGACAAACAUGACAUAGACAUCACAUUGUGAUGACAAACAUGUCAUAGACAUCACAUUGUGAUGACAAACCUGACAUAAACAUCACAUUGUGAUGACAAACACGUCAUAGACAUCACAUUGUGAUGACAAGCCUGACAAGCAUUGUGAUGACAGACCUGACAUAGAUAUGUUUUGAUGAAAAACCUGACCCUGAUGUCAGUAACAUAACACUAUUAAUAAUAACUGUUACCAUGGUGAUAGUUACAUCAGUCUCUACUUAUCAUUGACUCUCUACUUAGACUCGACUCUACUUAGCAGUGACUCUCAAUUCCAAUCUGGGUCAGCUUAAAGACCUUCUGCAUUAAUUUUGGAUUUGCGAAUCAAUCCAGUUGUUGUCAGUGAGUCAAGAAGGGAUCAUUAAAUGAGGAGAGAGGAAAAUGAUACCUUAAAUGAAUGUAAGUUGUUCUCAUUAAUUAGUUUUCUGUUAAUUAAAGGACACAAUCCAUUCAACAUUCUAAUUGAACCCACUCCCCUCACUUCAAAAAUCACGUUCAGUUAUAUUCAGUUUGUGGAAACAAGGAAAAAUUCCAAUUAAUUUAUUUAUUUUGAUUUCUAUUUUCAAUCAAUGAACUUUACAUAAAUGUUCAAUUUUGAGAAAUAAACAACAAUUUUAUAUUUUUGA
rnacentral:misc_RNA from 1 species